AUGGUUUAAAAUUUAUUUGCUACAGGUUUGAGGCAGAGUUUUUCACCUUUGACGUCUCCCAGGAGAACUGCCAAAGUAAAAGCCGGACCUGUGCCACCGCUAUCUUUGAGUGAUGCAGAAAAUUCCUCACCAUUAAGUUCAAACAGAUCUAGUCCAGGGAGAUUUGAAGGAGACCCACCAUUAAGAAGACUGAGCAAUGGAGUCCAGUCGACAGGGUCCCUGUCCUCUGGGAGCAGUCCACCUGAUAGUCCAUAUGGAAGCCAGUAUCUAGAAACACAGAAGGAACCUCAUCGCAGAAGUUUGCCAAAUCUCUCCAAGGGGACGUCAAAUUUAAAAUCUCCAACAAGUGCCACUGGCUCAGAAACAUUUAGAGUCCAAGCUCCCCAAGUACAGCGCCCAUCAGGAAUGAAAGAGCCUGUCAAUCAUUCUCCGACGUAUCGACCCACGUCACCAGCAGUUAGUGGUCUCAGACAACCGGCCAAGCGGCCAGUUUCGCCUGCUGGAAGUGGGAUCCCUGGACCCAAGACGGGAAUCCCAAGACCAGGGAGAACAGGAAUUCCUUCGCCUAGGAGGUACUUCAGCAGCAACAACAAAUGAUUGCUUUGAAAUAAAGAGACAAUUAAUUGGUAGCAAAUAUUCAUUUGUCACAUACUUAUGUUUUUAUGAAACUUGGCAGAUGUGUUAUGCUGUCAGUCCAACUUCUCU